GGUCGAUCAUUCCAUCACAUCAGCUGGCUCCUCUCCGUUUUGGCCGUUCGUUCCUUCAUGAAGAAAACCCUUCCCCGGUUGGAAGCGCCGGCUAGCUACAAUGAAUAACAACAACGCUAGUGUCUAUGUUUGUUUACAGAAAGAGAGAGCGAAAGAAACGCCUUCUCCCUUCCCGGAGUGGUAUAGAGAUAGAUAGACAGAGAGAGAGAGGGGAAGAGGAGGAGGCUUUGGAGGAAGAUGGGCGGUUCCUCGCAGUCGCAGUCGGAGGUAGAAGGGGGAAGGAUGGAAGGGUGGCUUUACCUCAUCCGGUCCAAUCGCCUCGGGCUGCAGUCCUCCAGACGCCGCUACUUCGUUCUCCAAGACAACUCCCUCCAUUGCUACAAGACCAUCCCGACAUCGACAAGAGAGGAUCCUAUACGAAGUGCGCUAAUUGAUUCCUGCAUACGCGUCACCGAUAAUGGGAGAGAGAGCAUCCACAGGAAUGUUUUAUUUAUUUUUACGCUAUACAAUGCUUCUAACCACAAUGACCAACUCAAGUUGGGAGCUAGAAGUCCAGAGGAAGCAGCUAGGUGGAUACGGUCCUUAAUGGAAGCAGCGUUAAAGGAGUGCCCGAUCAAAAGAGAGAAUGUGGUGGCUUGUUCCAGAAGAAGAUGGCCAUCUUUAAGGUUGAGCCAGAGCAAGAGAACGAGUCGUAUGCACUCUGUAGAUUGGACUGUUUUUUCAUCCUUACACACAGAUCCAAUGACAUCUGAUGUUAUCGCACCUUCUCCAUGGACGAUAUUUGGCUGCAAAAAUGGCUUACGGCUAUUUAAAGAAGCAAAGGAUGGUGAUUUACAUCGGAAGUGCUGGGAUGACCAUCCAGCUAUAAUGGCAGUAGGUGUGGUUGAUGCAACUCCUGAGGCCAUUUUCCGGACAGUUAUGUCUCUUGGCCCAUCGAGAUCAGAAUGGGACUUCUGUUUUGCUCAUGGCAGUGUGAUUGAACAUCUGGAUGGUCAUACUGAUAUUAUUCACAAGAAAUUGCAUAGUGAUUGGUUGCCUUGGGGAAUGAAACGGAGAGAUUUAUUGUUGAGGCGUUAUUGGAGAAGGGAAGAUGAUGGAACGUAUGUAAUACUGUACCACUCUGUGUUCCAUCAAAAUUGUCGACCUGAGAGAGGCUAUAUUCGUGCCUGCCUUAAAAGUGGAGGAUAUGUAAUAUCUCCUGCAAACCAAGGAAAUGUUUCAGUUGUUAAGCACAUGCUUGCCAUUGAUUGGAAAUUCUGGAAAUCUUAUUUAUUUGCCUCUUCUGCAAUAUACAUAACAAUCCGGAUGCUGGGAAGGGUUGCAGCGCUAAGAGAAUUGUUUCGAGUAAAACUGGGGAACUAUUCACACACUGAUUUUUCAUCAGGUGACAUGGAACCGGAAGUGCAAUUGCCUGGUGAAAAUAGUAAGAGUGAGGAAUUUAUAGAAGGAUCAGAAAAUUCUUCUGCCAAACCUGCAAAAACAGGUGGUUCAUUCCUCCAAUUGAACGAUGCAGCUGAUGAAUUUUUUGAUGUUUUGGAUGAAUCAGAAUAUGAACAAACAGAGGCCAUGUGGCCUUCAGAUGCAGGCAUGCAACCUCAGGACCAGCGACAGCCUAAGCUGUCAACCGCUGCAGUAUUCGUGAGAAGAUUGCAUGAUCUUGCAGUUCAGAAGAAAGGUUACGUGGAUCUACAGGAAGCCUCAAUGGAAGAUUCAAUGCCAUGUUGCUAUGGAGCCACACUUCAAAAGGACUCGAGCUUUACUAUUGCUUGUAGUUGGGCUUCUGCAGAUCCUUCAACAUUUUUGAUUCGUAGCAAAACUUACUUACAAGACCGUCAAAAGAUUAAAGCCAAUGGUACUUUGAUGCAAAUGGUAGCUGCCGAUUGGCUAAAAUCCAGUAAGCGUGAAGAUGAUCUUGGUGGUCGUGCUGGAGGCAUUGUUCAGAAAUAUGCUGCACAAGGUGGCAGGGAGUUCUUCUUCAUUGUGAACAUACAGGUACCAGGUUCAACCACAUAUAGUCUUGCUUUAUAUUAUAUGAUGGAUACCCCAGUGGAAGAUGUUCCUCUACUAGAAAGCUUUAUCAGAGAAGAUGAUGCUUAUAGGAAUUCAAGGUUUAAGCUCAUCCCAUAUAUUUCUAAGGGAUCAUGGAUAGUGAAGCAAAGUGUGGGCAAGAAAGCAUGCUUGGUGGGUCAAGCAUUAGAAAUAAAUUAUUUUCAUGGUGGAAACUAUUUGGAGCUUGGCAUAGAUAUUGGAUCAUCAACUGUUGCUAGGGGUGUUGUCAGCCUUGUCCUUGGUUACCUGAAUAAUCUGGUGAUAGAAAUGGCUUUUCUAAUACAGAGCUGAACUCCAUCCAGGGAAAUACAGAAGAAGAGCUUCCAGAAUUCCUUCUUGGAACCUGUCGAUUGAACCAUCUUGAUGCCUCUAGGGCAGUCUCAAUAUCACAAUGGUAGAAUAAGAUUAUCCACCAAUUCUUUCAUUUUGUCAAAUUUCCAAAUGGCAUUUUAGCAAAAUUCCAAAUGGGAAACAAUACAAAUCAUCUUCUUAAGUCCCAGCACUACACAGAAAGUGCAGCACUGUUAUUGUAAAUAUACUACCUUCUGAGUGGAUUGGAUUAUCUUUAAUCUAUUGGCACAGUCAGUAGGCCAUCUCCUGAGUAGUACCAUGCCGAUCGUCAAACAAGCAAUUGCCAAGCAGCAAAUGAUAGCAGGCUCACAUUGGCCUGCCAGAGAUGCAAAAUGAUUUGCAGGUCGGACUCCUAGGGUAAUUGGGAGAUAAAGUGGGCGUGUGCUGAACUCAUGAAACAGUUGACGCCAGCCAACAUCAGCCAGUGCGCUAAUGAGGGCUGUUAUGGCCAUGCACAGCAGUCAUGUUAAACCAGGGAUUUAGUGCAGGAUUCCGGGGUGGUAAGUGUCACGGACUCGGUUCAAAAGUUUAGAAUCUUAUGAGGACUGGCGCCUCUUUUAUAAGUUAAUAUGGAUUGUGACAAUCUGUUCCAUCCAAUCUCCUAACAUUCUUGUUACGGUUGAUUCCUGCUCGGAGUGUUGCCCACAGUUUGGGUCUUGACCUUGCCGUGUCCUUUUCGAUCCUGAUAUCAUUUAAUGAGAGAUCAACAUGAAUUAUAAAAUGUUGUGGCACAUAACAGGCUCUGAUGUCAUUUGUCAUGGACUUAUACUUCAAAUGCUUAGGCUGUUGAGAAGAGGACUAGCCUAGGCUAAUAAAUUCAUAUGGCAUUUUUUUUAAUUAAUUGAUGUGGAAUUAUGAUAAAA